rnacentral:rRNA from 1 species
GUCCACGCCGUAAACGAUGAUCACUAGGUGGGUGCUGAGCUAUCGGUGCCCGCCGCAGGUAAUUUGCUAAGUGAUCCGCCUGGGGAGUAUGGUCGCAAGGCUGAAACUCAAAGGAAUUGACGGGGGCUCACACAAGCGGUGGAGGAUGUGGUUUAAUUCGAAGCAACGCGCAGAACCUUACCAGGUCUUGACAUACCGGGAUUAGUUCCGUGAAAGCGGGAUGAUUACUGUAACAGGUGUAACCGGAACAGGUGCUGCAUGGCUGUCGU